AAAGUCUAACCUGCCCUAUGAAAUUUUUUAAAUGGUUGCAGUAUUUUGACUGUGCAAAGGUAGCAUAAUAAUUAGUUUUUUAAUUGGGAACUGGAAUGAAUGGUUGGACGAAAAAAAGACUGUCUCAGUUUAAUUUAAAUUAGAAUUUUAUUUUUAAGUUAAAAAGCUUAAAUAAUUUUAAAAGACGAGAAGACCCUAUAGAGUUUUAUAAAAAUUAAUUAAUUUAAAAGUUAAAGUAUAUAAAUUUAUUUUUAUUAAUUUUUAUUUGGUUGGGGAGAUUAAAAAAUUAAUAAAACUUUUUUUAUUAGUAUAACAUUGAUAUAUGAAUAAAUGAUCCA
rnacentral:rRNA from 1 species